UACGAAGGGUACAAGCGUUGUUCGGAAUUACUGGGCGUAAAGCGCGCGUAGGCGGACGCGUAAGUCGAUUGUGAAAUCCCUGGGCUUAACCUGGGAACUGCAGUCGAAACUGCGUGUCUUGAGUGCCUGAGAGGAUGGCGGAAUUCCCGGUGUAGUAGUGAAAUACGUAGAUAUCGGGAAGAACACCUGAGGCGAAGGCGGCUAUCUGGCGGUGCACUGACGCUGAGGCGCGAAAGCGUGGUGAGCGAACAGG
rnacentral:rRNA from 1 species